rnacentral:rRNA from 1 species
AGACCCGAAACCCGGUGAUCUAGCCAUGGGCAGGUUGAAGGUUGGGUAACACUAACUGGAGGACCGAACCGACUAAUGUUGAAAAAUUAGCGGAUGACCUGUGGCUGGGGGUGAAAGGCCAAUCAAACCGGGAGAUAGCUGGUUCUCCCCGAAAGCUAUUUAGGUAGCGCCUCGUGAAUUCAUCUCCGGGGGUAGAGCACUGUUUCGGCUAGGGGGCCAUCCCGGCUUACCAACCCGAUGCAAACUGCGAAUACCGGAGAAUGUUAUCACGGGAGACACACGGCGGGUGCUAACGUCCGUCGUGAAGAGGGAAACAACCCAGACCGCCAGCUAAGGUCCCAAAGUCAUGGUUAAGUGGGAAACGAUGUGGGAAGGCCCAGACAGCCAGGAUGUUGGCUUAGAAGCAGCCAUCAUUUAAAGAAAGCGUAAUAGCUCACUGGUCGAGUCGGCCUGCGCGGAAGAUGUAACGGGGCUAAACCAUGCACCGAAGCUGCGGCAGCGAACGUAUCACCCAAGACAACUUUACGGAGUUGACGAUUGACGGAGCGAAGCGACGUCAAAGCGUUCAUUAAAGUCGAGUUGGCUUAGGGAUACGUUCGUUGGGUAGGGGAGCGUUCUGUAAGCCUGUGAAGGUGUGUCGUGAGGCAUGCUGGAGGUAUCAGAAGUGCGAAUGCUGACAUAAGUAACGAUAAAGCGGGUGAAAAGCCCGCUCGCCGGAAGACCAAGGGUUCCUGUCCAACGUUAAUCGGGGCAGGGUGAGUCGACCCCUAAGGCGAGGCCGAAAGGCGUAGUCGAUGGGAAACGGGUUAAUAUUCCCGUACUUGGUGUUACUGCGAAGGGGGGACGGAGAAGGCUAUGUUGGCCGGGCGACGGUUGUCCCGGUUUAAGGGUGUAGGUGUGUGUUCCAGGUAAAUCCGGUUCACUUUAACACUGAGGCGUGACGACGAGGCACUACGGUGCUGAAGCAACAAAUGCCCUGCUUCCAGGAAAAGCCUCUAAGCAUCAGGUAACACGAAAUCGUACCCCAAACCGACACAGGUGGUCAGGUAGAGAAUACCAAGGCGCUUGAGAGAACUCGGGUGAAGGAACUAGGCAAAAUG